rnacentral:rRNA from 1 species
UCUACUGGGAUAAAAUGUGUAGUCUGGCCUGCCCACUGAAAUUUAAAGGGCCGCGGUAUCUGAACCGUGCUAAGGUAGCAUAAUCAAUAGUCUCUUAAUUGGGGUCUAGAAUGAACGGCCGGACGAAAAAUUAGCUGUCUUGUGUGUAAAAUUGAACUUUACUUUUAAGUGAAAAGGCUUAAAUUUAAUGAGGGGACGAUAAGACCCUAUGAAGCUUAAUGUAAAUUAUUUUAAAGUAAUUUUAAACAAUUGGGUGGUUUAUUUUUAUAAUCCUUUACAUUGUGCUGGGGCGGCUGUGAUAUAAAUUUAACUGUUAUUCGGUAAAAAAUAAUUAUAUUUAGACAAAUUUGAUCCUUUACUUAUGGAUUACAAGAUUUAAGUUACUCUAGGGAUAACAGCGUAAUUCUUCUUGAGAGUUCCUAUCGACAGAAGUAGUUGCGACCUCGAUGUUGAAUUAAAAUUUCGUUAAGGUGUAGGAGCUUUAAUAGUAGGUCUGUUCGACCUUUAAAAUUUUAC